AGCCCUGCUGAAGAGAGAUCAUUUUGGUCCCUGGUGCUUUUCUUCCAUUUGGUUCUUCCUAUCAAACUGAUAUUUGGAACUUAUUAAGAGGUCCUGAGGUCAUCGAGGAUGCUGUCCUUGGAAGGAAUUAAGAUAGUUCUCAUGGAACUCUUGACUUCUCACAAAAGAAUCUACAAGAGCUAUAUCUCUCACCCUACAUUGGAGCUUUAUGAAAACCAGAAAACAAUUGCCACUAUUCUUCAGGCUAGGAAGACUAAGAGCAAGGCGGCAGAGAAUCAGGGUCUAAUGAAGAUUUUUCUCAUUUCUUUGUCUUUAUAUGGCAGUGGUGGUGAAAGGUUUUCUCCACCAUCUUCUACACGGGCAUUGAUGUAAUUUGUGAAGACAGAGUCCUUGUGGCUUACUCACUCACAAAGGGACCCGCUGUUUAAGGGUAACACAGUGGAAGUUAGAUUUAAGUCUGAAUUUUAAGGGACCACAUUCAGGCCAUAGCAGGGGAAUUCUUUAUUAUGUCCUUUUUUAUUUGUAUCUUAU